CUAUGCGCCUUGCCAGCCCGCUCAGGUGUGCCAGCCGCCGCGGUAAUACGUAGGUGGCAAGCGUUGUCCGGAUUUACUGGGUGUAAAGGGCGUGCAGCCGGAGAGACAAGUCAGAUGUGAAAUCCACGGGCUCAACCCGUGAACUGCAUUUGAAACUGUUUCCCUUGAGUGUCGGAGAGGUAAUCGGAAUUCCUUGUGUAGCGGUGAAAUGCGUAGAUAUAAGGAAGAACACCAGUGGCGAAGGCGGAUUACUGGACGAUAACUGACGGUGAGGCGCGAAAGCGUGGGGAGCAAACAGG
rnacentral:rRNA from 1 species